CUGGCUCAAAAUGGCGUUCCCUCCUCCUCCCUUGCUGGCAUCUGGAUUUUCCCGAGCAAACCGCGCCUCCACGAGAUCUUUCCUGCCUCCCUCCGCAGGGGACGACUCCUUUGCAAGGGCAUCUAUUUACCUUGAGAAGAAUGUUUCUGCUGGUCUCGUAAAGCUUCUGCUAGUCAUGAGAAACAAUCGUCACCAUGAAGGAGUUUACUGCUUUUCUAGAUAUGAGGAGAUAUAAGAAGUGGGCUCAUAAAAUCAGCUCCUGAGAACAUCUGACUAUCUAAAGACCUCGCCUGCCAGUUUCUCGGAGCACAGAGCGCCUCACGUCUGCUCUCCACCUUGACCUCCUCUAGGGGAUGCUGGAGGCCUUAUGGGCACAGAGGUGCCUGGUGACUUCCCUCAAAAAUCAUAAUGUCAUGAAGGCCACCAGCAAGUUGAUCUGCCAGGACCUAUGUUCUGACCCAGAUGGAAGCCCCUAGCCCAA